CACGUAGGAGGCAAACGUUAUCCGGAUUUAUUGGGCGUAAAGAGCGUGUAGGCGGCCGGAUAUGUCAGAUGUGAAAGCCCCGGGCUUAACCCGGGAAGUGCAUUUGAAACUGUCCGGCUCGAGUAGGGGAGAGGGAAGUGGAAUUCCUGGUGUAGAGGUGAAAUUCGUAGAUAUCAGGAGGAACACCGGUGGCGAAGGCGACUUUCUGGCCCGAUACUGACGCUCAGGCGCGAAAGCGUGGGGAGCAAACAGG
rnacentral:rRNA from 1 species